GGUGAAUUGUUUACAGUAUGUGGAGCGGUAAAUGCAGGGUGCGGGAUCUUUCGCCUCUCCAUAACCGCUAUCUUCAACAAAGAAUGCUCUUGGUAGGGAGAGUGGUACUGUCUGAAAAAGGUAUAGCAACCGUGGCAGGACAUUCAUCUUGAGGACUGCUAUGUGUCCAAACCAUGAGAUAUGUGGGUAUGACCACCGGUUAAGGUCUUCGAAACCGUUCCGUAGUAGGGGCAGGAACUUAGCGCGGUAGAGAUCAGUUGGGUCCGCCGUCACCCAGGUACCCAAAUAUUAAAU